AGUCGACGGACUCAUAUUGAAACCUAGUGAUUUAUGAGUUAGUGGCGGACGGGUGAGUAACGCGUGGAAAACCUGCCGUAUACCGGGGGAUAACACUUAGAAAUAGGUGCUAAUACCGCAUAAGCGCACAGCUUCGCAUGAAGCAGUGUGAAAAACUCCGGUGGUAUACGAUGGUUCCGCGUCUGAUUAGCUAGUUGGCGGGGUAACGGCCCACCAAGGCAGCGAUCAGUAGCCGGCCUGAGAGGGUGAACGGCCACAUUGGGACUGAGACACGGCCCAAACUCCUACGGGAGGCAGCAGUGGGGAAUAUUGCACAAUGGGGGAAACCCUGAUGCAGCGACGCCGCGUGAGUGAAGAAGUAUUUCGGUACGUAAAGCUCUAUCAGCAGGGAAGAAAAUGACGGUACCUGACUAAGAAGCCCCGGCUAACUACGUGCCAGCAGCCGCGGUAAUACGUAGGGGGCAAGCGUUAUCCGGAUUUACUGGGUGUAAAGGGAGCGUAGACGGCAGCGCAAGUCUGGAGUGAAAUGCCGGGGCCCAACCCCGGAACUGCUUUGGAAACUGUGCAGCUUGAGUGCGGGAGAGGUAAGUGGAAUUCCUAGUGUAGCGGUGAAAUGCGUAGAUAUUAGGAGGAACACCAGUGGCGAAGGCGGCUUACUGGACCGUAACUGACGUUGAGGCUCGAAAGCGUGGGGAGCAAACAGGAUUAGAUACCCUGGUAGUCCACGCCGUANACGAUGAUUACUAGGUGUCGNGGGACCAAGGUCCUCCGGUGCCGGCGCAAACGCAUUAAGUAAUC
rnacentral:rRNA from 1 species